rnacentral:snoRNA from 1 species
UGAAAUGAUGAUCAUUUCGAUAUAACAAUAUACGCUGGAAAUUACCGGCCGAGACCCUCAAGUCGUUGACGAUAUCAAAUGGCUAUUUCUGAUA